GACGAACGCUGGCGGCGUGCUUAACACAUGCAAGUCGAACGGAAAGGCCCUGCUUUUGUGGGGUGCUCGAGUGGCGAACGGGUGAGUAACACGUGAGUAACCUGCCCUUGACUUUGGGAUAACUUCAGGAAACUGGGGCUAAUACCGGAUAGGAGCUCCUGCUGCAUGGUGGGGGUUGGAAAGUUUCGGCGGUUGGGGAUGGACUCGCGGCUUAUCAGCUUGUUGGUGGGGUAGUGGCUUACCAAGGCUUUGACGGGUAGCCGGCCUGAGAGGGUGACCGGCCACAUUGGGACUGCGAUACGGCCCAGACUCGUACGGGAGGCAGCAGUGGGGAAUAUUGCACAAUGGGCGGAAGCCUGAUGCAGAAACGCCGCGUGCGGGAUGACGGCCUUCGGGUUGUAAACCGCUUUCGCCUGUGACGAAGCGUGAGUGACGGUAAUGGGUAAAGAAGCACCGGCUAACUACGUG
rnacentral:rRNA from 1 species